ensembl:misc_RNA
UUCACAGCCCUAGAGACAGAAGUCCUCUGUUUCACCACAGAGCAGGUACAGCAUAGGCAACGGCAGUGCAAGAUUCUUCACACGUGUGCCUCAAAUUUAAUGUAUAGGCACUACCCCAAGGGAUAUGAGUAGGACACUUUUCAUCACAUGGCCUUGGGGUUGAAGGCGCUGCUUGUGAUAAGUUUGUAUCAUAAUGAAUU